AAAUGCAAGUCGAACGGGCUGUUUAUGCAGCCAGUGGCGGACGGGUGAGUAACACGUAGGUGACCUACCCCAAAGUCUGGGACAACUAGGAGAAAUCUUAGCUAAUCCUGGAUGUGGACAUCUACUUUGGUGGAUGUUUAAAGCUUCGGCGCUUUGGGAUGGGCCUGCGGCGCAUCAGGUAGUUGGUGGGGUAAUGGCCUACCAAGCCGACGACGCGUAGCUGGUCUGAGAGGACGAUCAGCCACAGGGGUACUGAGACACGGACCCCACUCCUACGGGAGGCAGCAGUUAGGAAUCUUCCGCAAUGGGCGAAAGCCUGACGGAGCGAUACCGCUUGAAGGACGAAGCCCUUCGGGGUGUAAACUUCUGAACUCGGGACGAUAAUGACGGUACCGAGGUAAUAGCACCGGCUAACUCCGUGCCAGCAGCCGCGGUAAUACGGAGGGUGCGAGCGUUACCCGGAUUUACUGGGUGUAAAGGGCGUGUAGGCGGUCUCUCAAGUCCGAUGCUAAAGACCGAAGCUCAACUUCGGGGGUGCGUUGGAUACUGUGAGGCUAGACGGUCGGAGAGGGUAGCGGAAUUUCCGGAGUAGCGGUGAAAUGCGCAGAUACCGGAAGGAACGCCAAUAGCGAAAGCAGCUACCUGGACGAUUUGUGACGCUGAGGCGCGAAAGCGUGGGGAGCAAACCGGAUUAGAUACCCGGGUAGUCCACGCCCUAAACGAUGAGUGCUGGGUGUCCGACAUCUGUUGGGUGCCGUAGCUAACGCGUUAAGCACUCCACCUGGGAAGUACGGUCGCAAGACUGAAACUCAAAGGAAUUGACGGGGGCCCGCACAAGCGGUGGAGCAUGUGGUUUAAUUCGAAGCAACGCGCAGAACCUUACCAGGUCUUGACAUCCACGGAACUCCUGGUGAAAGCCGGGGGUGCCCGCAAGGGCAGCCGUGAGACAGGUGCUGCAUGGUCGUCGUCAGCUCGU
rnacentral:rRNA from 1 species